ensembl:misc_RNA Metazoa_SRP Metazoan signal recognition particle RNA
GCCGGGCGCGGUGGUGUGUGCCUGUAGUCCCAGCUAUUCAGGAGGCUGAGGCUGGACAAUCGCUUGAGCCCAGAAGUUCUGGGCUGUAGUGCACUAUGCUGAUCGGGUGUCCGCACUAACUUUGGCAUCAAUAUGGUGACCUCCCGGGAGCAGGGGGACCACCAGGUUGCCUAAGGAGGGGGUGAACCGGCCCAGGUCGGAAAUGGAGCAGGUCAGAACUCCUGUGCUGAUCAGUAGUGGGAUGCACCUGUGAAUAGCCACUGCAUUCCAGCCUGGGCAACAUAGCGAGACCCCGUCUCUU